GACGAACGCUGGCGGCGUGCUUAACACAUGCAAGUCGAACGGAAAGGCCCUGCAUUUGUAGGGUGCUCGCGUGGCGAACGAGUGAGUAACACGUGAGUAACCUGCCCUUGACUUUGGGAUAACUUCAGGAAACUGGGGCUAAUACCGGCUAGGAGCUCCUGCUGCAUGGUGGGGGUUGGAAAGUUUCGGCGGUUGGGGAUGGACUCGCGGCUUAUCAGCUUGUUGGUGGGGUAGUGGCUUACCAAGGCUUUGACGGGUAGCCGGCCUGAGAGGGUGACCGGCCACAGUGGGACUUAGAAACGGCCCAGACUGCGACGGGAGGCAGCAGUGGGGAAUAUUGCACAAUGGGCGGAAGCCUGAGGCAGAAACGCGGCGUGCGGGAUGAGGGCCUUCGGGGUGUAAACCGAUUUCGCCUGUGACGAAGCGUGAGUGACGGUAAUGGGUAAAGAAGCACCGGCUAACUACGUG
rnacentral:rRNA from 1 species